GCUGGGUGCGACGGCUCUCGCCUGUAAUCCCAGUGGCUUGAGAGGCUGAGACAGGAGAAUCGCGUGUUCAAAACCAGCCUCAGCAAAAGCGAGGUACUAUGCUGCAACUCAGUGAGACCCUGUAUCUA
rnacentral:sRNA from 1 species